UGCAUCGGCCGGGAAUCGAACCCUGGCGAGCAUUCUACCACUGAACCACCGAUGC
rnacentral:tRNA from 1 species